GAGGGCGAAUUAGGAGAAGAGAGAAGGAGAGGAUGGCCAACCAGAAGAGGGAAAGGAGGGAAAGGAGGGAGAAGGAAAAUGAGGGGAGCAGUAGGGUUUUUUUUCGACCCGCGCGAAGACCUGGUUUUGUAGGGUGGUUUCCCGACGGCUUUCCGUCCAAAUUUUCGGUUUUCUUCAACCUCCCAUCACCCUCAAACACUCUCAAGAUAUCCCAGCAUCCAAUUCGACCCAAAAAUCAACGAGUUUUGUUGUGAUUUCGUGAAGAACACCCACACGGGUGCCGUGAGAUCUUUGCUCCAAAUCUACCAUUUCUGAAACAAUUUCUUUCAAUUACCACUACCCAUACACUUCCUUGAGCCUAGAAACAAUGCCCAAUUGUUGGUUGGGGCGGUGGAGUUGAGUAGAGGACGAAUCAAUCACACCCAAAACUAGGGUUUCCGAUGGGUUUUGAUAAAAUUGGAGCAUUUUCAAGCAAAAUUGGCCUUGGUCACAGGCGCCGAUCGUUUGGGACGCCUUGAUGUUCGUGCUAGGAAGUUGUAGCGCGGACUCCAGGUCUUCUUAGCUGAGCUUUCUUAUCGUCGAGGAAUCGUGACAAUUCUUAGUAUUGAAGAUUAUUCGAGGAGGCUUUAUCGGAGCGUCGGAGAAGAAGGUAGAGCGCGGAGGGACUGAACCGGCAGCCGUGGUCUCCUCUCUGCUAUGCGACAGAACCGGGUUUGGUGUUUGUUUGUUUGGGGGUUUUGGUGGAAAUUGAAUUUAGAGAUCGAUCGAUCGAUCAUCGAUGGCAAAAGUUUUGAGCAAAACCAGCCUGUUGUCGUCCUGGCAUCAUCAUCAUCAAAACCAAAAAAUCAGUAUCUUUGUUUUCCCAAAGAGUUGUAAUUACAAUAAAUCAGGGUCUUUCUCUUGCUCUUUCAAACUGAAUCUGGACAUUUCAUCACUAUCCUUGUCCACAACAAAGAGUGAUUUUCACGAAAAAAUGAUUGCUUUUGGGUUGCUGGGUUGGUGGUGGAGGAGGAGGCUACAAGAGAGAGGGAGGGUAAUGAAGCUACGGGAGAUAGGGAGGCUAUGGGAGAAAGAGGGAGGGUAGACAGUGGAAUUAAAGAAAAAGAGAAGGGGUAUUGUUGUCCAAAAAAAUUAUAAUUUUUUGUCACAUGGGUUGGAACAAGUCGUUCCAGGGGUAAGGUGGAACCAAAAAAUGACUAAAAUUCGUUUUAUGGGACGAUGUAUCUCAAUCAAUUUGGCGCACCAGAUAUGGGACGGAAUGUCUCGUCCCACUGCGUUCCGUCCUGUCCCACUCGGUACCACAGGAAAGGGACCGGGACAGGGACAGAAUACGGGCUCGGGAUCGUGAUAGGGGCAGGGAUUCUGACCGAGAACGAGAUCGAGAGGAGGCCGAGAGGGACAGAAACAGGGAUCGGAGUCGUCGUUCAAAGGAUAGAGCAAAUGAUUCAGGGGGCAUUCAGACAAAUCGAGGCAUCACUCAUCACGCGAUCGUGACUAUGACAGUUCCUCGUAUUCUUCCCGGGAUAAGGAUCGCCAUAGACAUCAUUCGUAUGCUUGAACUAAUCGUCAAGACGCCUCUCCUUUUCCCUUAUAAGUGAACGAAACUGAACGUACUUUGGCUGCAUUUUUGCAAUUUUUCAGACGUAAAAGUGAAUUAGAUUUUGGUAGGAUGUGUGCAAUGCACAGCAUUGAUCCUUCUAAAUCUUCGUUCUGUUGUUGGAUAGUUGAAUUACUUGUGAUAUCCUUACAUCCUUCUUGGUUGAGAACCAAA